rnacentral:lncRNA from 9 species
UAUGGAACGCAUCAUGAAUUUGCAUGUCAUGCCUGCACAGGGGGCCAUGCUAAUCUUCUCUGUAUCGUUCCAGUUUGAGUAUAUGGGCUGCCAACCGUCUCUUCAAACAAUCCUCCUGCCCCUAAAAGUUCCCAUCCAGCUCCUUGUCUUCACCACACGGCCACAUGUCUCGAAAUAGUCCCCUGCACUCACCACCCACGUUCCUGAAUUAGUAGUUCUCUCUUGGUCCCUUACACUCCCACCUCCUUCCCUUCCCAGUGGAAACCCCUCGCUCAGGGCCCCCCGGGAACUCCCCGUCACUGAGUCCCACAAGCUUUGUUUGCUCUCUCCUUCCUUUACCCCCUGUAAAGUGACGAAUAACUGCCCCACCUCCUGGUUUUGUGAAUAGCAAUUACUGGGAUUUUUUUUUUAGUCAUAAAAGUAUCACAUGUGGUUGAGCGCACAGACCCUGGAGCCAGGCUGCCGGAUCAGCAUUGCAACGCUGGCUCCUCCGCUCACCUUCGCUCUGACCUUGGCUGCAUGUGCUCCGCGCGUCUGCCUCCCUCGGUUCCUUUAAUCCCAACCUGGGGAAAACAGUAGUAACCUCACAGCGUUGUUUUGAGGAUGAAGUAAGUUAAUAUCUAUAAAGCUCUCAGAACAAUGCUGGGCAAGUGUAUGUGCUGUUCACGUAUUAGCUGUUAAGAGCAAAAAAUAAAUAAAUCAAACCUUACUGCAGGAGUGCAUUAAAAACACUGAAAAUCCCCUAAAAUUCUCACCGCCUAGCAAUAGCUACAUUGUGGAAUAUAUUCUUCCAGUGUGUUUGGGGGGGGUAUAAUACAUUUUAAUGAUAUUUAUAGCUAACUAAACAUAUUUAUACAGCACUAACUUGCCCUUCUGCCUCUCUUCCCCUAGCUUUUGUGAUCGUGUCACCCCACCCCUUCUCUGCUCCUUUGAAGCUGCCUUUCUUGUCGCCUGUACACAUGGCAAAGGCCCAGGGGUGUGCCCUGCUCUUUUCUUCAUGCUCUCCCUCCAAAGUCUAGCAUUUCCACCGCCACCUCUGAGCUCCUGGUCCCUGUUCAGCCCGAAGAAAGAAGUCUUAUUCAUUCUUCCAUGUCCUCUCACAUGCAUCCACCUUUGCAUUCCAGUUGCCGCCAUCUGUCUAAGACCUUAUGUUCUAACUCUCAAGAGCAGUGAUGAUGCUGAGCGAUAACAGGGGGCUGGUUUCCAUGUUUGCCAGGCUCUUUUCUCUGUGAUUCCAUUUCACCAUUACGGUCGGUGAGAUAGGCACGCUUGGGAUCCCGUUUUGCAGAUAGAGAACCUUGGGGUGGCUCAGCACAGAUUUGAGCCCCGUUCCUUCUGAUCCCAAACGUGAUCUGUAUACCAUAUUGCCUGCCCCUAGACCUUCCAUGGAAAUAUUCUACUUGUCUUUCUCUGCCGCCCACUUACAGUCCCACCCAUAUAAGUUUUCCAAGAGCACUCCCUUUGCCUGUCAUUCUGCUCAGAAACCUUUGGUGGCUCCCAUUUCACAUAACAGUCAGCUUUUCUUUCUUUUCUUUUUUCGGGGCCACACUUUCAGCAUAUGGAGGUUCCCAGGCUAGGGGUCAAAUCGAAGCUACAGCUGCUGGCCUGUGCCACAGCCACAGCAAUGCCAGAUCCAAGCUGCAUCUGCAACCUACACCACAGCUCACGGCAACACCGGAUCCUUAACCCACUGAGCAAGGCUAGGGAUCGAACCCACAACCUGGUGGUUCCUAGUCAGAUUCAUUUCCUCUGCACCAGGACGGGAAUGCCAACCUGGUUGCUUCUUAAUCUAAAAGGGGAUGCCACAGCAUUCUCCUGUUGACUGAUGCCUCACUUUCAACUCUCCUAUUAGGUGUUUGAGUUGUUUCAUUGCAUUCACGCUGGAGAAGCGGGUGAGCGUCUCUCUGCUUGGCAAUAUUAGAAAGCAUGCCCUCUGCUUAGGCAGUCAGAUGCCAGGCCUUUAUGACCAGAAUCCUAACUGUCUCUCUUCUGCUGCUUUGUCGGCCCACCAGGAAUGAGGGCAGAGUGGCUGUGUUGUGGACAAUAGCCCGGGUAAGGGAACUCACUGCAGAUCACGUCCAGCUCUGCGCAGCUUGGGGAGGGAGACAGAGAGGGUCCCUCCGGAUCCCUCAGCAAGGCUGAUGGGGAAGGCUCCAGGAGGUCACAGAGAUGGGAAAGAAGGCACACGUCUUCUGGGUUCAGGUAUCAGAAGGGCCAUUGACCACCCCGCCACAGGGAAGAGAUGAAGGGGCAUUUGGAGUGUUCUGCCUCCAUCCUGAGACAGAUUGGUCCUAUGUCCCUUCCCAGCAAAUAACUUGCUCAAGGUGAAGUGCCUGUGUCUUUGGAGAGCAAACGACGCUCUGUGAAGUGAGAGCAUGAUUUCCAAACAACGUGAGAACAUAACCAAGAGACCGUUUCAUGGCACCCUGAGGUGUUCAGCAUCUGGAAGGGAACGAGCCUGCGUGUGGGAGUGACGCCAGCAAGGAAGCCCCCUAUGUCAUUGCUCCUCCCCAGUGGCCUCCACACCAGCAAAAUAGGCAUCAGCAAGAAGAACAUCUAGAAAUGCAAAUUCUCCACCCCGCCUCCCCAGCCCAGACCUACUGACUUCAGAACUGGCCUGGGGUGGGGGCGGGGGAAGAGCACUGUUCCAGGGGGCUUCCUCACGUCAUAUAGCAUCCUUUGCUCCCCAAGCAGUGAGCCCAUUGAAGGCAGGAACUCAGUCUCCUGCCUCUCGGGUCAUUCCCACGUCUUCUCUCUCCCGCCCCUGCAAGCUCCCACUGCAGGACCUGCAGGCAGAUGCAGUGAUCUAGGAGCACUGGGGUUGAUGGCAGCCCUGGAGAGUGGCCAUUUCCUCAUCUGGAAAGUGGGUUAAUAAUGCCACCUGCACCGUGACCUCCAGAUAUAACAUUAGUUCAAAUUUGAAAAAGAAAAAAAAAAAAAAAAA